AGUAUGUAUUAAACUUAGGACAUCGUUGGCUCUUACGCCUUUUCCUUUAAAAGGUGACUUAGUCAUCUUAAAAAGUAGACAGGAUUCAUAGGUUGGUAAUAAUUCAUAAUCAUCUAUCUCAAGGAUAUAUUUCUUGAUCAAUCUGUCAAUCCUAUUCUUGUUUAUAUAACCAAGCCUACAAUGCCAAAGGUAAGAUUCACUGACAUUAUCUAAUUUAGGAUGUUUGCUAGCUGUGUACAUUACAUUAAC
rnacentral:lncRNA from 1 species